rnacentral:rRNA from 1 species
UACGUAGGGUGCAAGCGUUUGUCCGGAAUUAUUGGGCGUAAAGAGCUCGUAGGCGGUCUGUCGCGUCUGCUGUGAAAACCUAGGGCUUAACUCUGGGCGUGCAGUGGGUACGGGCAGGCUAGAGUGCGGUAGGGGAGACUGGAAUUCCUGGUGUAGCGGUGAAAUGCGCAGAUAUCAGGAGGAACACCGGUGGCGAAGGCGGGUCUCUGGGCAUUAACUGACGCUGAGGAGCGAAAGCAUGGGGAGCGAACAGG